UCGCUAGUAAUCGCGAAUCAGAAUGUCGCGGUGAAUACGUUCCCGGGUCUUGUACACACCGCCCGUCACACCAUGGGAGUCGGAAAUGCCCGAAGUCAGUGACCCAACCGCAAGGAGGGAGCUGCCGAAGGUGGAGCCGGUAACUGGGGUGAAGUCGUAACAAGGUACC
rnacentral:rRNA from 1 species